rfam:Felis catus isolate Cinnamon breed Abyssinian chromosome A2, whole genome shotgun sequence.
GCCUGGGUGGCUCAGUCGGUUAAGCAUCUGACUUCGGCUCAGGUCAUGAUCUCACAGCUCGUGGGUUCGAGCCCCACAUUGGACU